GUCAUAUGCUUGUCUCAAAGAUUAAGCCAUGCAUGUCUCAGUACAGGCCAAAUUAAGGUGAAACCGCGAAAGGCUCAUUAAAUCAGUUAUGGUUCCUUAGAUCGUACCCACAAUUACUUGGAUAACUGUGGUAAUUCUAGAGCUAAUACAUGCAAACAGAGCUCCGACCGGAGACGGGAGGAGUGCUUUUAUUAGAUCAAAACCAAUCGGCGGCGGGUUCGCUCGUCGCCGUACAACUUGGCGAUUCUGAAUAACUUUACGCUGAUCGCACGGUCAUCGCACCGGCGACGCAUCUUUCAAAUGUCUGCCUUAUCAACUGUCGAUGGUAGGUUCUGCGCCUACCAUGGUUGUAACGGGUAACGGGGAAUCAGGGUUCGAUUCCGGAGAGGGAGCCUGAGAAACGGCUACCACAUCCAAGGAAGGCAGCAGGCGCGCAAAUUACCCACUCCCGGCACGGGGAGGUAGUGACGAAAAAUAACGAUACGGGACUCAUCCGAGGCCCCGUAAUCGGAAUGAGUACACUCUAAAUCCUUUAACGAGGAUCAAUUGGAGGGCAAGUCUGGUGCCAGCAGCCGCGGUAAUUCCAGCUCCAAUAGCGUAUAUUAAAGUUGUUGCGGUUAAAAAGCUCGUAGUCGAAUUUGUGUCUCGCGCCGCCGGUUCAUCGUUCGCGGUGUUAACUGGCGAGUCGCGAGACGUCCUGCCGGUGGGCUUAGCUCGCGAGGGCGGCCCAACUCAAUCCUGCCGCGGUGCUCUUCAUUGAGUGUCGAGGUGGGCCGGCACGUUUACUUUGAACAAAUUAGAGUGCUUAAAGCAGGCUAAAACUUCGCCUGAAUAUUGUGUGCAUGGAAUAAUGGAAUAGGACCUCGGUUCUAUUUUGUUGGUUUUCGGAACCCCGAGGUAAUGAUUAAUAGGAACGGAUGGGGGCAUUCGUAUUGCGACGUUAGAGGUGAAUUUCUUGGAUCGUCGC
rnacentral:rRNA from 1 species